rnacentral:sRNA from 1 species
GAGCCGCGGCACCCCGGCUUCGUGCUGGGGCUGGAUGUGGGCAGUUCUGUGAUCCGCUGCCACGUCUAUGACCGGGCGGCGCGGGUCUGCGGCUCCAGCGUGCAGAAGGUAGAAAAUCUUUAUCCUCAAAUUGGCUGGGUAGAAAUUGAUCCUGAUGUUCUUUGGAUUCAAUUUGUUGCCGUAAUAAAAGAAGCAGUCAAAGCUGCAGGAAUACAGAUGAAUCAAAUUGUUGGUCUUGGCAUUUCAACACAGAGAGCAACUUUUAUUACGUGGAACAAGAAAACAGGAAAUCAUUUUCACAACUUUAUAAGUUGGCAAGACUUAAGAGCUGUUGAACUUGUAAAAUCUUGGAAUAAUUCUCUUCUUAUGAAGAUAUUUCACAGUUCUUGCCGAGUGCUUCACUUUUUCACUAGAAGUAAACGACUUUUUACAGCCAGUUUGUUCACUUUCACAACCCAGCAGACUUCUUUGAGAUUGGUCUGGAUUUUACAGAACCUGACUGAGGUGCAAAAGGCAGUUGAAGAAGAAAAUUGCUGCUUUGGGACUAUUGAUACCUGGUUGUUAUAUAAGCUCACAAAAGGUUCUGUAUAUGCCACAGAUUUUUCAAAUGCUAGUACAACUGGACUUUUUGACCCAUAUAAGAUGUGUUGGAGUGGGAUGAUUACCUCUCUAAUUUCGAUACCACUUUCUCUCCUACCUCCCGUGAGGGACACAAGGUAAUAAUAAACAUCAGACAUAGUAACC